UCCUGGUUUUCACACCUCUAGCUAUCGUCAUUUUCCUGUUCCCCUUUUCUCUGUCAGGGGAGAGCGAGUUGCAGGCGAUGGGGGAGUCGGCGCCUCGGGGGUGAUGGUCUCCCCAACGGCGGAGGGCUUGGAUUCACCUGUGGUGGAGGUGAAAUCGGUGAAGGCCAGCAGAGCCAGGAGUCGGGUGUAGUCUGCUCGUUCUUCUCCCUGUGUUUUGGUCGCUCUCUGGCUGCGAGAUAAUGGGCUUGCGCGGAGGCAGAGGAGCUGGGUUCCUCCAUGUCCAUGGCAAAGCUUCUAGCAAGCGACCCCCGUUUCGAGGUGGCGGUAGGAGGCUGCGUCCCCGGCGGGACGGCUAUCUUUUCUUCAUCCGUUGCUCUCCUUCUAGCUAUAUGUGCGCCUUGGCAUCGUAGACUUUGUAGGAUCGCACACUGGAUCUAGUUAUUUCGUUGUUCUUAGGUGGGGGUGGGGGCAACCCGAAUAGAUGGACUGGGAGAUGUUUUUGAGAGGCGGUUCUCAUCUAUGUGCCCCCGUGGUACUUUCCCCCAAAUUUUUCCAUCGUAUUUUUAGGCUACGUAGCUUUUUGACUUUGAUGGUGAAGUCGGAGCUGAAUGCUACAAUCCUACACAUAGAGUAGCACUAUUUAUCAUGCUUAGGAUCAUAAUUCAGUGAACUACCCAUUUUUAGGAUAAUUUUUUGUCUGAAUCAAAGCAUUAGAUAAGCUGCAUAACUAGGAUUGACAAAUAUUUUUCAUUGAUUCCACUGUUACUUUAGUCACUAGAAUGGUAAUUUAUUGUGUGUAGAGAUCAUAUGAGGGUUUAGGCAGCCCAUUUUGUCAUUUUUGAACUGAAUUUCAUGCAGUCAUGAAUAGUCCGAAUAGAUUCAGUGUUUUCUGUUUCCGUUGUUAGUGGUACGGCUGUUAGUGGCUGGCAGAUGGACUGGACAGUAGGAGAGUAGAUUCAGAAAUAGUGAGGUGGUUGCUGGUGCUUUCGAGUUUGUACUGUGUGUUUUUUCUUAGUUUUACAGUAGGAGCUUGUGACGAUGAAGAAUGAAAUAGGAGAUGGGCUAACCUUUAUUUUGUCCUGUUUUACAUGUUUGUGUUUGAUUCUUUAAAGUGUUGUUCCGAUCUGUAGUUGGAAGAGUGUUGUUUGAUUUGGUUAGGAUCAUUUAGUGCCUAUAAAUUUAAGGCUGGGAGCAGGUGUUGUCAUCAAGGGGUAUCAAAGAGGUUGCGCGCUUCCCUAUUGUUUCAAUCAAGUUUUUAGUGGUCAGUGGACAUAUAUGCAUACACAUACUACAUGUUGGAGAAGAAAUCAUCUUGGAUAUCAUGUGCUGUUGGAAAUCAUCUUGGAUAGUUUUUGCGACCGUGGGUUUUCCAUACAUGUGAAAAGAAAUCAUCUUGGAUAUCAAGUGAUGUUGGAAAGCCUUGUUAGAUAUAUCCCUGAAUCAACCUGCAAUACAAUAUUUUGUUUUCCAGUCGUUGAAGAAUCAUAUAGUAUGGCUAAGUUUUAUCAGUAUCUCAGUAUUAUCACUAACUCGGUUCUAUCAUUCUUAGCUCAGUUUAUCAUUUAUAUAGCUCAGUAUUAUCACUAGCUCAGUUUCUCAUUCAUAUCAUUAUUUUUUUUCGUUUCUUAUUUUUCAAGUUCUUCCAUCCUUAUUCUCUUUCUCCGUUUCUCAUUCUGUCUGAUUAUCUUAGUCCUUGUUACUUCAUUUUAUCUCUGUGUCAUCAUUUAUGCUUCUUCAAUAAAUGUUGAAAUAAGCAAAUUAUUCUUCUCUGUAAUUAUCUCAGUCACUCAUUCAUAUCAUUAUUUUUCCCAAUUUCCAGCCUUUCAUUUAGCUUCGUUAGUUAUCUCAUUCUCUUGAGUUAUCUAUUGUGAAGAAAAGCUCAUUUUCUCCGUUCCUUUUUAGUUUGAUCAGCUUAUUAUUUCUGUAGGUCUAUCUCUUUCUUCAUUUGUUUCAUCUCUCAGUUUGUCUAAAUUUUCUUCGUAUUCUCUCGGUCUCUCUAUUUCUGUCAGUCUGAUUAUCUUAAUGUUGUCUUAGUCAUUAUUUUUCAGUUCUUCAUUUGUCUAGUCUCUCAGUUUGUCUAAGUUUUCUUCGGUCUUCAUUAUUUCAUGUGCUGCGGAAGAGGCCCAAAGAUCACUCGGUCUUAUUCUCUUAGUCCUUGUUCAUUUUAAAUAAUUCUCUAUGUCUCUUUCUUCAUUCUCUCAUUUUAAUUCUCGUCAAAUUAUCUCAGUCUUUGUUUCUUAAUUUUUAUGUCUGUCUCAGUCUUCGUAUUUGGAUUCUUCAGUUUGGGUUAUUCUUUAAUUUCUCAGCCUUUCAUUCCUGUAUUCUUAGUCAAAUUCUCUCAGUCUCAUCCUCUCAUUGUCUCUAUAAUUUGAUCAUUGUUCUCUUCAUGGUUCAAAAAAGGGUUAAGCAAGCAGUGAGGCACCGCGCAGACGAAUUGAAGCUUAAGCGAGCUUAAGCACAGCAUAAGCGUUAUGUACUGAAACAUCAGAAAAUAGGGAAGAAAUUAUGGGCAUGUAGGAGCAGAGAAGUAGAGGAGAGUGGUGCUUGCUAGUAGCGACACCAUUGUUGCUAUUCAUGUGUGCGUGAAAGUGAGUGAGAGAAAGAGAUGAUAAGAUUAGAUGGAUGGCGCAGGUUAGAAAUGAUAAAUGUCUCAAACUAGGUUAGCAGACUAGGAUUCGAUAAUGGGCUAACUCUGUAGCAGGAAAGAGACCAUUAGCAUGAGUAUCAUACGCCCGUAUUGUGCUAUUGGGCCUUAUGAGCGUUUAAGUAGUCGCUAAGGGCCUAAGCGAAGCGUUUUUCCAUCGCUCAGCGCUUAAGCGAACACUUAGUUCUGCUUUCUUGAACCAUGGUUCUCUUUCAUGUAUUUAGUCUUCAAUCUCAUUCCUUUCUAUCAUUCUCUUUCUCACAGGCUUCAGUCUUUUCUUAGUGAUAUUAAUCUCUUUUUUUCUUGUAUGAAUGGGCUUUAGUGAACAUAAGCGGUGGUGCUGGAUGCCAUGGCAACGUUACACCCGCAUAGGAAAAGGCCGAUCAAAAGAGACCCAUGCGCACCUAUUUUACCAUUUCUACGAUGCUCGAUGAUCAACACUCUAGUACUCUGGGACUGAGUGCAUGGGUGCAGGGAUACUUAUCUCAGAUUAUCAGUGCUUAUUAUUGACUCUCAGUGCUUAUUAUUGGAUCGUGAGCUAACAAUGAUCGUGAGAUGUAGUCUGCUAAGAAAGCCAUGGGUGGAGCAGUUGUAGCAUUGUGUCUGCCGGAGGAGAAAGAGUGCUGACUUGGUGGUAGUUGGUAGAACAUGCGAGGAAAUAGUAGGCAUUUUGCUGUUAACUGUGUAAAUCCCAAAAUGGUGAUAACAUGAUUUCCCUCAUUAAGUCUGUUUGUUUCAUUA